AAGUCGUAACAAGGUUUCCGUAGGUGAACCUGCGGAAGGAUCAUUAAAAAAUCGUUUGAGCCGCAAGGCUCUAUUAUCUUGUGAAAUGUCUAUGGGAGGGCUCUGUCUGCGCAGGGGAAGAUGCGCGCCAAUGAGAGGGGUGCCUAGGCAUCGUCUCAUCGUCUGCUGCAUCGUCCAUCUGUACGCGCGCAAGGCUUUCCCAGUUAAUAUUAAACAUAUGUUUUUUGAUGUCGAGGAAAUGUAUAUCUAAUUAAUACUUAUACAACUUUCAACAGUGGAUCUCUCGGCUCUU
rnacentral:misc_RNA from 1 species